rnacentral:lncRNA from 1 species
UAAGGUGAACACCUGAAAUAACUGUUUAAUAAAGUGAAUUCAUAUAAAAGUGCACUAGUCAGAAAAUAAUAAACCCACAUACUUUCUUAGGAUUUUGAACAAUACUGGGUAAACUGGAGAAAACAAGACAGAAACGAAUAAACAGCUCUCAGUAAGUCACACUACAUAACUAAAUCAAACUACAAACAUCAUGGGCCUGCUUUGGCUCACCGGGUGUUGGUAUGCUAGAGUGAGGCCGU